rnacentral:lncRNA from 1 species
CCUGCUAUGACUAUUGGUUCUUAAGAAGAGGGACAAAAAUCUUAAGAAUUCUCUGAAGGACUAGAUCUCUACCGUGACUGAUAGCAGGAACCUCCUGAGCCAUACCAUCAAACUCUUGUACUCAUGAAAAUGGGCUAGUGAUUCUAUAGCUUCAUUUUAUAACCCUGCUUCUUAUCUUACCUCUCCUGGACAUUUCUGAGCAGCAGAGGUUUUGAGUACUCCAUUGAACAACCAAUUCUGAAUCCUGUCAUCAAAUCCUGUGCUGUUGUGCCAAGAGGUGAUAGAUGCAU